rnacentral:rRNA from 1 species
GAUGAACGCUGGCGGCGUGCUUAACACAUGCAAGUCGAACGGAAAGGCCCUGCUUUUGUGGGGUUCUCGAGUGGCGAACGGGGGAGUAACACGUGAGUAACCUGCCCUUGACUUUCGGAUAACAUCACGAAACUGGGGCUAAUAUCGGAUAGGAGCUCCUGCUGCAUGGGGGGCGUUGGAAAGUUUCGGCGGUAGGGGAUGGAUUGGCGGCUUAUCAGCUUGUUGGUGGGGUAGUGACUUACCAAGUGUUUGACGGGUAGCCGGCCUGGGAGGGGAGACGGGGACAAGGGGACUAAGGGACGCAGCAGACGCCAAUGGUAGGCAGCAGGGGGGAGUAUUACACAAUGAGCGGAAGCGUGAUACGACGGCGCCGCGUGCGGAAUGACGGCCUUCGGGUUAUGAACCGAUUUCGAAUGUGACGAAGCGUGAGUGACGGUAAUGGAUAAAGAAGCACCGGCUAACUACGUG